GACGUAGGGCGCGAGCGUUGUCCGGAUUUAUUGGGCGUAAAGAGCUCGUAGGCGGUUCGGCAAGUCAGCUGUGAAAUCUCCACGCUCAACGUGGAGGGGUCAGCUGAUACUGCUGUGACUCGAGUCCGGUAGGGGAGUGUGGAAUUCCCGGUGUAGCGGUGAAAUGCGCAGAUAUCGGGAGGAACACCAGUAGCGAAGGCGGCACUCUGGGCCGGUACUGACGCUGAGGAGCGAAAGCGUGGGGAGCAAACAGGG
rnacentral:rRNA from 1 species